rnacentral:rRNA from 1 species
UACAGAGGGUGCGAGCGUUAAUCGGAAUUACUGGGCGUAAAGCGCACGUAGGUGGCGACGUAAGUCGGGUGUGAAAGCCCCGGGCUCAACCUGGGAAUUGCAUUCGAGACUGCAUUGCUGGAGUACGGAAGAGGAAGGCGGAAUUCCCGGUGUAGCGGUGAAAUGCGCAGAUAUCGGGAGGAACACCAAUGGCGAAGGCAGCUCGCUGGGACGUUACUGACGCUGAGACGCGAAAGCGUGGGGAGCAAACAGG